UCCGGUUUGUCACCGGCAGUCUGGCGUGAGUCCCCAACUUAAUGCUGGCAACACGCCACGGGGGUUGCGCUUGUUGCGGGACUUAACCCAACAUCUCACGACACGAGCUGACGACAGCCAUGCAGCACCUGUGGCACACCCUCGAAGGUCACACGUUUCCGUGCGCUUGCAGUGCCAUGUCAAGUCCAGGUAAGGUUCUUCGCGUUGCAUCGAAUUAAAGAACAUGCUCCGCUGCUUGUGCGGGCCCCCGUCAAUUCUUUUGAGUUUUAGCCUUGCGGCCGUACUCCCCAGGCGGAACACUUAUCGCGUUAGCUGCGGCACAGAGGGAUUCGACUCCCCCCGGCACCCAGUGCCCAUCGUUUACCGCGUGGACUAC
rnacentral:misc_RNA from 1 species